rnacentral:sRNA from 1 species
UCUCCUUUCACGAUAAAGUACAGGAUCCUUUCUGGAAUGGAGGUCUUAUGAGCUGCUAUCGAACAAGGUAGAGCCUGUUGGUGACCUGCACCCAGGAGCCCUCCAGUCAGUACUGAUUGAAUGACUCAAGGCUGCCUCUCUGCAAAGUUGAGCACUACAGGACGUCGGGACUGGGCACUUCCUUCCAACAUGGCCGCCACUGCCUCUCCGCAGCCACUCACCACUGAGGAUGCCGGUUCUGAGAACAGCAGCUUCUACUACUAUGACUACCUGGAUGAGGUGGCCUUCAUGCUCUGCAGGAAGGAUGCUGUGGUGUCCUUUGGCAAAGUCUUCCUCCCAGUCUUCUAUAGCAUGAUUUUUGUGUUGGGCCUGAGCGGGAACCUCCUUCUUCUCAUGGUCUUGCUCCGUUACGUGCCUCGCAGGCGGAUGGUUGAGAUCUAUCUGCUGAAUCUGGCCAUCUCCAACCUUCUGUUUCUGGUGACACUGCCCUUCUGGGGCAUCUCUGUGGCCUGGCAUUGGGUCUUUGGGAGUUUCUUGUGCAAGAUGGCAGUGGAGAACUACUGAGGACUUCUGAGCAGAGAAGUUGGUGGAACAGGAAGCACCAACAAUCCAUCUCAUCACCUAGAGAGCAUUGUACUGGCAGAACUAUCUAAAGUGACUAUUUUGGAACUCUGGGAUCAAUUUGAAUACUUGCAGCUUCCAAAGGAAAGGUUGGUUGGUAAAUUGUGGCUAAUAUUGGUUGAUUUCAGCUUGUAUUGGAUACCCACCCAUAAGUCCCAUGGCAGGCAGCCAUGACAUGUUUCUGACAUGGCUUGCUGAAGCCAGAGUGGGAAAUUAGGACUUCGUCCUCCAGAUAUUGGGGCUCUGUGUUAUAAUUGCUGAUAGCUGCUUCUUAUCAAUGAGGUGUAGCCACGGAGGCUGGCUGCCAUUGGUUCACCUCCAUUGGCUGAAGCAGUCUCUAGGGCAUUAAAACAUUAAAAGGA